GCGGUUCUAGCCCAACGGUAGAGGCAUCUGGUUGAGGGCCAGUCCAGUCGGGGUUCGAAUCCCCGGAACCGUA
rnacentral:tRNA from 1 species